GUCCACGCAGUAAAACUGUGAACACUAGGUGUAGCGGGUAUUGACCCCUGCUGUGCCGAAGCUAACGCAUUAAGUGUUCCGCCUGGGGAAGUACGGUCGCAAGGCUAAAACUCAAAGGAAUUGACGGGGGCCCGCACAAGCGGUGGAGCAUGUGGUUUAAUUCGACGCAACGCGAAGAACCUUACCUGGGUUUGACAUCCCGGGAAUCCCCUGGAAACAGGGGAGUGCCCUUCGGGGAGCCCGGAGACAGGUGCUGCAUGGCUGUCGU
rnacentral:rRNA from 1 species